CAGUGCGUCGUUGCAACGAAAUUGAAGAUGGAUUCUAUGUAAUAUUCUUGUUUACAAUUUAACCAACCAUUAUCUGCUCGAGGAAUUUACUAAAUUCUUCACGUGCCACAGUUUGUUCACCACUGGUUUACAUUAAUGCUAGCAGAAAGCAAGUCAAAAGAUAUCAAGUCCUAGAAAACAGAAAUCCUUGAAGAGCAGUAUGUUUAUGGAAGAGAUAUUUUAGAAGCGAAUAAGAUGAAUAUGACGCGAAUUGACAUUCGGGCUUAUGCGAAUCAUUACAUAACAUGAAGAAAUGAAAAUCACUGAGUAAUUUUGAAUUUUCCAACGCUUGCGCACUAAUGAACCGAAAAAUCGGCAUAAUUGGACUGAUUUUAUAACUAUUCUGGAUGUAAUCAAUUCGAAAUGAAAGUAGUGUGAAUAUUCUGAUUUUAUGUAUAUGCUUGUUAGGACAGCACGAUUUGUUCUACAUUCAUUAAGCUCUAUCAAAAAAAUUCAAAAUCUUCAUACCAAGUGCUAUGAAUUUUUAAUAAAUAUAUAUU